rnacentral:rRNA from 1 species
UAUAAUGGGUCAGCGACUUAUAUUCUGUAGCAAGGUUAACCGUAUAGGGGAGCCGCAGGGAAACCGAGUCUUAACUGGGCGUUAAGUUGCAGGGUAUAGACCCGAAACCCGGUGAUCUAGCCAUGGGCAGGUUGAAGGUUGGGUAACACUAACUGGAGGACCGAACCGACUAAUGUUGAAAAAUUAGCGGAUGACUUGUGGCUGGGGGUGAAAGGCCAAUCAAACCGGGAGAUAGCUGGUUCUCCCCGAAAGCUAUUUAGGUAGCGCCUCGUGAAUUCAUCUUCGGGGGUAGAGCACUGUUUCGGCUAGGGGGUCAUCCCGACUUACCAACCCGAUGCAAACUACGAAUACCGAAGAAUGUUAUCACGGGAGACACACGGCGGGUGCUAACGUCCGUCGUGAAGAGGGAAACAACCCAGACCGCCAGCUAAGGUCCCAAAGUCACAGUUAAGUGGGAAACGAUGUGGGAAGGCACAGACAGCCAGGAUGUUGGCUUAGAAGCAGCCAUCAUUUAAAGAAAGCGUAAUAGCUCACUGGUCGAGUCGGCCUGCGCGGAAGAUGUAACGGGGCUAAACUGUGCAC